rnacentral:rRNA from 1 species
GAUGAACGCUGGCGGCGUGCCUAAUACAUGCAAGUCGAGCGAACGGACGAGAAGCUUGCUUCUCUGAUGUUAGCGGCGGACGGGUGAGUAACACGUGGAUAACCUACCUAUAAGACUGGGAUAACUUCGGGAAACCGUAGCUAAUACCGGAUAAUAUUUUGAACCGCAUGGUUCAAAAGUGAAAGACGGUCUUGCUGUCACUUAUAGAUGGAUCCGCGCUGCAUUAGCUAGUUGGUAAGGUAACGGCUUACCAAGGCAACGAUGCAUAGCCGACCUGAGAGGGUGAUCGGCCACACUGGAACUGAGACACGGUCCAGACUCCUACGGGAGGCAGCAGUAGGGAAUCUUCCGCAAUGGGCGAAAGCCUGACGGAGCAACGCCGCGUGAGUGAUGAAGGUCUUCGGAUCGUAAAACUCUGUUAUUGGGAAAGAACAUAUGUGUAAUUAAAUGUGCACAUCUUGACGGUACCUAAUCAGAAAGCCACGGCUAACUACGUG